rnacentral:rRNA from 1 species
UAAAUCAGUUAUCGUUUAUUUGAUAGUACCUUACUACUUGGAUAACCGUGGUAAUUCUAGAGCUAAUACAUGCUGAAAACCCUGACUUCGGAAAGGGUGUAUUUAUUAGAUAAAAAACCAAUGCCCUUUGGGCUCUUUGGUGAUUCAUGAUAACUUAACGGAUCGCAUGGCCUUGCGCCGGCGACGGUUCAUUCAAAUUUCUGCCCUAUCAACUUUCGAUGGUAAGGUAUUGGCUUACCAUGGUUUCAACGGGUAACGGGGAAUUAGGGUUCGAUUCCGGAGAGGGAGCCUGAGAAACGGCUACCACAUCCAAGGAAGGCAGCAGGCGCGCAAAUUACCCAAUCCCGACACGGGGAGGUAGUGACAAUAAAUACUGAUACAGGGCUCUUUUGGGUCUUGUAAUCGGAAUGAGUACAAUUUAAACCUCUUAACGAGGAACAAUUGGAGGGCAAGUCUGGUGCCAGCAGCCGCGGUAAUUCCAGCUCCAAUAGCGUAUAUUAAAGUUGUUGCAGUUAAAAAGCUCGUAGUUGAAUCUUGGGCCUGGCUGGCCGGUCCGCCUCACCGCGUGUACUGGUCUGGCCGGGCCUUUCCUUCUGGAGAACCUCAUGCCCUUCAGUGGGUGUGUUGGGGAACCAGGACUUUUACUUUGAAAAAAUUAGAGUGUUCAAAGCAGGCCUUUGCUCGAAUACGUUAGCAUGGAAUAAUAGAAUAGGACGUGCGGUCCUAUUUUGUUGGUUUCUAGGACCGCCGUAAUGAUUAAUAGGGAUAGUCGGGGGCAUCAGUAUUCAAUUGUCAGAGGUGAAAUUCUUGGAUUUAUUGAAGACUAACUACUGCGAAAGCAUUUGCCAAGGAUGUUUUCAUUAAUCAGUGAACGAAAGUUAGGGGAUCGAAGACGAUCAGAUACCGUCGUAGUCUUAACCGUAAACUAUGCCGACUAGGGAUCGGGCGAUGUUUCUAUCUUGACACGCUCGGCAC